rnacentral:rRNA from 1 species
AUUGAACGCUGGCGGCAUGCCUUACACAUGCAAGUCGAACGGUAACAGGUCUUCGGAUGCUGACGAGUGGCGAACGGGUGAGUAAUACAUCGGAACGUGCCUAGUAGUGGGGGAUAACUACUCGAAAGAGUGGCUAAUACCGCAUGAGAUCUACGGAUGAAAGCAGGGGAUCGCAAGACCUUGUGCUACUAGAGCGGCCGAUGGCAGAUUAGGUAGUUGGUGGGAUAAAAGCUUACCAAGCCGACGAUCUGUAGCUGGUCUGAGAGGACGAUCAGCCCCACUGGGACUGAGAAAGGGCCCAGACUCCUACGGGAGGCAGCAGUGGGGAAUUUUGGACAAUGGGCGCAAGCCUGAUCCAGCAAUGCCGCGUGCAGGAUGAAGGCCUUCGGGUUGUAAACUGCUUUUGUACGGAACGAAAAGCCCUGGGUUAAUACCCUGGGGUCAUGACGGUACCGUAAGAAUAAGCACCGGCUAACUACGUGCCAGCAGCCGCGGUAACAC